CCCCCGAUGGUCUAGUUGGAUAUGACGUUUGGCUGCAAUAGAACAUUCUAUGUAACCAAAACGUAGCUGGCUCGAUUCCGGCUCGGGGGA
rnacentral:tRNA from 1 species